rnacentral:rRNA from 1 species
UACGAAGGGGGCUAGCGUUGCUCGGAAUCACUGGGCGUAAAGCGCACGUAGGCGGGUUCUUAAGUCAGGGGUGAAAUCCUGGAGCUCAACUCCAGAACUGCCUUUGAUACUGGGAAUCUCGAGUCCGGGAGAGGUGAGUGGAACUGCGAGUGUAGAGGUGAAAUUCGUAGAUAUUCGCAAGAACACCAGUGGCGAAGGCGGCUCACUGGCCCGGUACUGACGCUGAGGUGCGAAAACGUGGGGAGCAAACAGGGAUUAAGAAACC